rnacentral:rRNA from 1 species
GACGAACGCUGGCGGCGUGCUUAACACAUGCAAGUCGAACGAUAAGGCCUAGCUUGCUAGGGGGAUUAGUGGCGCACGGGUGAGUAAUACGUGAGUGACCUACCUUUGACUCUGUGGUAAGCCUUGGGAACUGUGUCGAAUACCGGAUACGACCAAUCUCCGCAUGGGGUGGUGGUGGAAAGCGUUAUGGAGUGGUUUUAGAUGGGCUCGCGGCCUAUCAGCUUGUUGGUGAGGUAAUGGCUUACCAAGGCGACGACGGGUAGCCGGCCUGAGAGGGUGACCGGCCACACUGGGACUGAGAUACGGCCCAGACUCCUACGGGAGGCAGCAGUGGGGAAUAUUGCACAAUGGGCGCAAGCCUGAUGCAGCGACGCCGCGUGCGGGAUGACGGCCUUCGGGUUGUAAACCGCUGUCAGCUUCGACGAAGCGAAAGUGACGGUAGGUGCAGAGAAAGCGCCGGCUAACUACGUG